GAUGAACGCUGGCGGCGUGCCUAAUACAUGCCAGUCGAGCGAACAGACGAGGAGCUUGCUCCUCUGACAUUAGCGGCGGACGGGUGAGUAACACGUGGAUAACCUACCUAUAAGACUGGGAUAACUUCGGGAAACCGGAGCUAAUACCGGAUAAUAUAUUGAACCGCAUGGUUCAAUAGUGAAAGACGGUUUUGCUGUCACUUAUAGAUGGAUCCGCGCCGCAUUAGCUAGUUGGUAAGGUAACGGCUUACCAAGGCAACGAUGCGUAGCCGACCUGAGAGGGUGAUCGGCCACACUGGAACUGAGACACGGUCCAGACUCCUACGGGAGGCAGCAGUAGGGAAUCUUCCGCAAUGGGCGAAAGCCUGACGGAGCAACGCCGCGUGAGUGAUGAAGGUCUUCGGAUCGUAAAACUCUGUUAUUAGGGAAGAACAAAUGUGUAAGUAACUAUGCACGUCUUGACGGUACCUAAUCAGAAAGCCACGGCUAACUACGU
rnacentral:rRNA from 1 species